GGGGUCGACUGGUUUUGACAGCGAGUACACUCAAACGGUAAGCACGUCGUGUAAUGACUUUGAAACACGUAAAAGGCUAGGUCAACUUUUUAAACGGCGAGAAUAACUACGCUUUAGCUGCAUAAUCUGAAUUACAGUAAGAUUCGUGCUCAUUCCUACUAGGUAGGAAGGCUAAAUGUCUCCUGAAAGCCUUGAUUAGCGGCGUUCGAUUAGAGGCAUCGUAAAUGUUAAUAUAGCAUAUAUAGCGCUUUGAUGUGUAUGUGAAACUCAAAAAGAUAAGUUGUAAGUGGGUUGUCUUUAACCAGCUUGCAAACGAAAACCCAAGAAAAGAAUAAACGUGUAGAAGCCCCUUUGAUGGCUUGUUUGGACGAGAGUUCGAUUCUCUCCGACUCCACAA
rfam:Bizionia argentinensis JTB59 contig00069, whole genome shotgun sequence.